GACGAACGCUGGCGGCGUGCUUAACACAUGCAAGUCGAACGGAAAGGCCCUGCUUUUGUGGGGUGCUCGAGUGGCGAACGGGUGAGUAACACGUGAGUAAACUGCCCUUGACUUUGGGAUAACUUCAGGAAACUGGGGCUAAUACCGGAUAGGAGCUCCUGCUGCAUGGUGGGGGUUGGAAAGUUUCGGCGGUUGGGGCUGGACUCGCGGCUUAUCAGCUUGUUGGUGGGGUAGUGGCUUACCAAGGCUUUGACGGGUAGCCGGCCUGAGAGGGUGACCGGCCACAUUGGGACUGCGGUACGGCCCAGACUCCUACGGGAGGCAGCAGUGGGGAAUAUUGCACAAUGGGCGGAAGCCUGAUGCAGCAACGCCGCGUGCGGGAUGACGGCCUUCGGGUUGUAAACCGCUUUCGCCUGUGACGAAGCGUGAGUGACGGUAAUGGGUAAAGAAGCACCGGCUAACUACGUG
rnacentral:rRNA from 1 species